UACGUAGGUGGCAAGCGUUGUCCGGAUUUACUGGGCGUAAAGAGCGCGCAGGCGGUUAUUCAAGUCGAAUGUGAAAGCCCCCGGCUCAACUGGGGAGGGUCACGCGAUACUGAUCGACUGGAAGGCAGGAGAGGGUAGUGGAAUUCCCGGUGUAGUGGUGAAAUGCGUAGAUAUCGGGAGGAACACCAGUGGCGAAGGCGACUACCUGGCCUGUUCUUGACGCUGAGGCGCGAAAGCUAGGGGAGCAAACGGG
rnacentral:rRNA from 1 species